CGCGGAAGGCGGGGGUGCUGGGGGCUGGGCCGGGGGCCAACCAACGCGAAAACCCGCCCCGGAGGGUGAGGACCAAGCAGACCUGGACCCCGAAAGGAAGAACCCUGACCCCAGCUGUCCCUUUGGCCGAGCGUCUGGGGGCACACAGGGACACAGAGUUGAUGUGAGAGGAAAGCUAAGGACCUCGCGAGUGAUGGAAGCCCAAGACGGAAUUUACCAAGAGACUGUCUUGUCAUUCAGAACCCAGGCGUGAUGAUAAUUCUAAGAGUCUGAUUUCUUAAAAGGUCAUAGCGAGACCUACCUUUUUCCAGUGUGAUAAGAUUUAUCAUCAUUAAAGGCAAAAUGUGGAAGCAUACAAUACCUUGUUACGACAGAGAAAAUGACCUGAGGUAGAUGCUGAUUCCAAAGAUGGUCACAACGGUGUCUCCACCAUGAAGUCUAUUUUUUCUUCUGUUUGAAUUGGGGCUGGCCCUGUGACUGCUUUGACCUAUAGAAUGUGGCAAAAAUAGUGUUGGAGGUCUUCCAAGACCAGACGUUAAGCAAGCCUGAUGGCUUCUGCUUUGCAUUCUGGGGAACACCAGCCACCACUUAAGGAGAACCCACCAUGCUGUGAGGAAGUCUAAGCUAUGUGGAGGGGCCACCUGGAAAGACAGAGAUGACUGACUGGCCCCUAGUUGUUCAACCUGUCUCGGCUGAGGUACCAGACUUGUGAGUGAAAAACUGCUGUAGGAAGGUCCAAGGCCAGCAGACACCACAUGGAAUGAAGAUGAGCCAUCCUCACUGAGCCCUGCCGAAACUAUAGAAUCAUGAGCAAAUAAAUGAUUGAUGUUCUAAGGCACUAAAUUUGGGGUAGUUUUAAAAGCAGCAAUAGAUAACCAAGACAAAGCUAAACAAGAGAAAGUCCCCUAGCAUACAGAUCAACCUUCUGUAGACUCCACAAGGCAGAGUUUGGGGGAUAAUUCUUUUUUUUUUUUUUUUAAUCUUAUCUCAGGAGUCAUUUGCUUUCUGUUUACUCUCUUGCUGAUUUAUAAUUGUCCCACCUGGUGCUUGUUUAUCCCAGUGUUAUACCAAGGGUGGGAGAAGGAAACAUAGGAGAAGUCUGCCCCAAUGAGGGAGGAAUAUUUUAUCACUGUACCUUGUUUGGAACUGUUAGAGCAUGAAAAUAAUAAAAAGCAAACAGAAUUUUC
ensembl:lncRNA